rnacentral:misc_RNA from 1 species
GGUAUGCCUGUAAUUCUCAUUGUUUAGUUAAUGUUUGAAGUGUAGGUCUUUUUAUGAAUAUGAUGUGAGAUAGUGUGGAAGAAGUGCCAAUGAAGAACAAGAAGGAAUCAAGAUAAAUAAAUUCUCAAGACACAAGAAACAAACUCUUUAGAGAAACUAAUUCUUAGUGAUAGUCAUAAUAAUAAUCUCUAAGAAAAAUACCCAAAUUGCAUAGGUAUUUAUAGACUAGCAAUCCUACUAUAAUUAAAAUUAAGAAACCCUAAUCAAAUACU